GAUGAACGCUAGCUACAGGCUUAACACAUGCAAGUCGAGGGGAAACGAUAGAGAAAGCUUGCUUUUUCUAGGCGUCGACCGGCGCACGGGUGAGUAACGCGUAUCCAACCUGCCCAUCACUUGGGGAUAACCUUGCGAAAGUAAGACUAAUACCCAAUGACGUCUCUAGAAGACAUCUGAAGGAGAUUAAAGAUUUAUCGGUGAUGGAUGGGGAUGCGUCUGAUUAGCUUGUUGGCGGGGUAACGGCCCACCAAGGCGACGAUCAGUAGGGGUUCUGAGAGGAAGGCCCCCCCACAUUGGAACUGAGACACGGUCCAAACUCCUACGGGAGGCAGCAGUGAGGAAUAUUGGUCAAUGGACGAGAGUCUGAACCNGCCAAGUAGCGUGCAGGAUGACGGCCCUAUGGGUUGUAAACUGCUUUUAUAAGGGAUAAAGUGAGUCUCGUGAGACUUUUUGCAUGUACCUUAUGAAUAA
rnacentral:rRNA from 1 species